rnacentral:pre_miRNA from 1 species
GCACAGUCCACGCCGCGGGUAUCACAGCGCACAACGGCGAUGAGUGUCACUGUACGAAAUAUCCCCGGAUGCGCACUGUGAAGCCCGCGGAUGGACCACUGC